GAUCACCCCAGCCGUCCUGUACCAUCGAUUUAGCUGCCUUCAUAUCCAGGGUCGGGCCUGGUUAGUACUUGGAUGGGAGACCGCCUGGGAAUACCAGGUGCUGUAAGCU
rnacentral:rRNA from 1 species